GACGAACGCUGGCGGCGUGCUUAACACAUGCAAGUCGAACGGAAAGGCCUGCUUUCCCUUGUGUAUUGCGGGUACUCGAGUGGCGAACGGGUGAGUAACACGUGAGUGAUCUUCCCCCAACUUGGGUAUAAGCCUGGGAAACUGGGUCUAAUUCCCGAUAGGACUGCAGGGUGGUUCCUGUGGUGGAAAACGAUUUUCUAGUGGUUGGGGAUGAGCUCGCGGCCUAUCAGCUUGUUGGUUGGGUAAUGGCCUACCAAGGCGGCGACGGGUAGCCGGCCUGGGAGGGUGGACGGGCACAUUGGGACGGAGAUACGGCGCAGACGCCUACGGGAGGCAGCAGUGGGGAAGAAUGCACAAGGGGCGGAAGCCUGAUGCAGCGACGCCGCGUGGGGGAUGACGGGCUUCGGGUUGUAAACUCCUGUCGACAGAGAGGAAGCCACCUGGUUGGAAGGGUGGUGACGGUAGUGGUAGAAGAAGCACCGGCUAACUACGUG
rnacentral:rRNA from 1 species